rnacentral:rRNA from 1 species
AUCGAUGAAGAACGCAGCGAAAUGCGAUAAGUAAUGUGAAUUGCAGAAUUCAGUGAAUCAUCGAAUCUUUGAACGCACCUUGCGCCCUUUGGCUAUUCCGAAGGGCAUGCCUGUUUGAGUAUCAUGAACACCUCAACUCUCAUGGUUUGCCAUGAUGAGCUUGGACUUUGGAGGUCUUGCUGGCCAGCGGUCGGCUCCUCUCAAAUGAAUCAGCUUGCCAGUGUUUGGCGGCGCCACAGGUGUGAUAACUAUCUACGCUUGUGGUUUCCCGCCAGGUUUCCUUCAGUGAUGGAGGUUCGCUGGAGCUCAUAAAUGUCCCUCCCCAGUGAGGACAACUUCAUGAAUGUUUGAUCUCAAAUCAGGUAGGACUACCCGCUGAACUUAAGCAUAUCAAUAAGCGGAGGAAAAGAAACUAACAAGGAUUCCCCUAGUAACUGCGAGUGAAGCGGGAAAAGCUCAAAUUUAAAAUCUGGCGUGCCUCUGGUCGUCCGAGUUGUAGUCUGGAGAAGCGUUUUCCGUGUUGGACCGUGUAUAAGUCUCUUGGAACAGGGCGUCAUAGAGGGUGAGAAUCCCGUCUUUGACACGGACUACCAAUGCUUUGUGAUGCGCUCUCAAAGAGUCGAGUUGUUUGGGAAUGCAGCUCAAAAUGGGUGGUAAAUUCCAUCUAAAGCUAAAUAUAGGCGAGAGACCGAUAGCGAACAAGUACCGUGAGGGAAAGAUGAAAAGCACUUUGGAAAGAGAGUUAAACAGUACGUGAAAUUGCUGAAAGGGAAACGCUUGAAGUCAGUCACGUCUGCCAGGACUCAGCCUUGCUUAUGCUUGGUGUACUUUCUGGUUUGAUGGGCCAACAUCAAUUUUGACCGUUGGAGAAAGGCAUUGGGAACGUGGCACCUUCGGGUGUGUUAUAGCCCUUUGUUGUAUACAACGGUUGGGAUUGAGGACUGCAGCACGCCUUCAUGGCCGGGGUUCGCCCACGUACGUGCUUAGGAUGUUGGCAUAAUGGCUUUAAGCGACCCGUCUUGAAACACGG